rnacentral:lncRNA from 1 species
GUUUUCUGUUUUAGGUUACACAGAAAAAGUUGGACGAUUUUGCCCUUGGUGAAUCAACGGUCGAAAUUGCCACAUAUUUACUGAAUUACUUUAGGCCAAAAUUGCAGCCCUAAAGCAGUAAAUUCACAUCUCUCGUAAUUUAUGGACUCAAACAAGUCCGCUAUGGUAAAUUGGCUGAAACUUUACAUUAUUGCACUAGCAAAUCAUCGUGUGGGGUGAUUAUUAGGAUUGGGGGUUGUCAUUACUUGACAACCAUUGCUUGUUAAUAGAACCUAGGAUUACUUGC